GACAGAGGGUGCUAGCGUUGUUCGGAAUUACUGGGCGUAAAGGGCGCGUAGGCGGCCCGUUUAGUCGGGUGUGAAAUCCCAAGGCUCAACCUUGGAACUGCAUUCGAUACUGGCGGGCUAGAGACCGGAAGAGGUGGGUGGAAUACCCAGUGUAGAGGUGAAAUUCGUAGAUAUUGGGUGGAACACCGGUGGCGAAGGCGGCUCACUGGUCCGGUUCUGACGCUGAGGCGCGAAAGCGUGGGGAGCAAACAGG
rnacentral:rRNA from 2 species